rnacentral:tRNA from 1 species
CACUAAGAAGCUAUGAAUAAGCAACAGCCUUUUAAGCUGUCGACAGGUAACUAACACUACCCUUAGUGA